CGGCGUGGCUGGGGGCAUGCGGGCGGUAGCAAGCCGCUGGUCGGCUCUGGGUGGGAGUGGGGUCGCGCGCGCAGGUUUGGGCGGGAGGGCCCCGAGGUAGUGAGGCGGAGGCGGGGUUGCCGGACUCCCAGCGCCUUCUUCCUGCUCGGCUCCCGGGCUCUGGCCACUGACCCCCGGUGUCUCUUCAGGCCGCCGACUCGAAGCGUGAGCAGUUCCGGAGGUACUUGGAGAAGUCGGGGGUGCUGGACACGCUGACCAAGGUGUUGGUAGCCUUAUAUGAAGAACCAGAGAAACCUAACAGUGCUUUGGAUUUUUUAAAGCAUCACUUAGGAGCUGCUACUCCAGAAAAUCCAGAAAUAGAGCUGCUUCGCCUAGAACUGGCCGAAAUGAAAGAGAAGUAUGAAGCUAUUGUAGAAGAAAAUAAAAAACUGAAAGCAAAGCUUGCUCAGUAUGAACCACCUCAGGAGGAGAAGCGUGCUGAAUAGGAUUCUUCUCAGUUUGAAAGACAAUGAAAAAUGGUUUUGUAUGACUUGAAUAGUUUGUAUAGUAUAUAAUCUUUUCUGAACAGAUGCUAUAGAACUCUUUUAAUAUGUUUAAUUCACCUAUCACACUCUGUUAAAAACACAUAGAAUCAUCAAUAAAAACUCAAUAUAACUUUCUUUGGGUCUUAAAGCAGGAGAAUCCAAAGUAAAUCCUGAACAAAACCUAAACACAGCCAUCUAACUCAUUACCUUAAAAGACAUUCUGUUUAUUAGUCUGAUUAGGAAUGAUGGCACUGGUUGUAUUUUAGCCAAGACAGUUUAGCAUGGAGCUAUUCCU
rnacentral:lncRNA from 1 species